rnacentral:misc_RNA from 1 species
AAAGUCGUAACAAGGUCUCCGUUGGUGAACCAGCGGAGGGAUCAUUACCGAAGUUACCCUUCAAAACCCACUGUGAACCAUACCUCUUGCCGCGUUGUCUCGGCGGGAGGCGUGGGGCCUCACGGCUCCGCGUCCCCGCCGGCAGCGCCAAACUCUAAACUGCAAAGCGUACUGCAUGUUCUGAUUUACAAAAAAACAAGUUAAAACUUUCAACAACGGAUCUCUUGGUUCUG